rnacentral:lncRNA from 1 species
AAUUACAAUACAAAUAUGUGGUGGUGGUUACGGCAGAAGAGGUGGUGAUUGAUGAUGGUGGUGAGAGAUGGUGGUGAUCAUAUCAUUAAUUAUUACCAUGCUCACAUGAUUCAUCUCAGUAUUUUUCUGUACCGGUUAGAUCGUCAUCAUUUAACAAGGCAACUAAAGAUCUCCAGCGACUAACAAUCAAAUUUCUCUUUUCAGAUCUCUUAAUUGGCUUUUCAUAAGGUAGUGAAUACAUUGAUGGUGGCCGAGUGAUGUAUAUGAUUAUGGAGGAGAUGAUGGUGAUUACAUUGAAAUGG